UACAGAGGUCCGUAGACGUGUUCGGAUUCGAUCUUGGGCGUAAAGGGUGCGUAGGUGGUUGGGUAAGUCUGAUGUGAAAUCUCCGGGCUCAACCCGGAAAUGGCAUUGGAUACUAUUCGGCUAGAGGUUUGGAGGGGGGACUGGAAUUCUCGGUGUAGCAGUGAAAUGCGUAGAUAUCGAGAGGAACACCAGUGGCGAAGGCGAGUCCCUGGACAACACCUGACACUGAGGCACGAAAGCUAGGGGAGCAAACAGG
rnacentral:rRNA from 1 species